rnacentral:rRNA from 1 species
ACUCCUACGGGAGGCAGCAGUGGGGAAUAUUGCACAAUGGGCGCAAGCCUGAUGCAGCCAUGCCGCGUGUGUGAAGAAGGCCUUCGGGUUGUAAAGCACUUUCAGUCGUGAGGAAGGUAGUGUAGUUAAUAGCGCAUUUAUUUGACGUUAGCGACAGAAGAAGCACCGGCUAACUCCGUGCCAGCAGCCGCGGUAAUACGGAGGGUGCGAGCGUUAAUCGGAAUUACUGGGCGUAAAGCGCAUGCAGGUGGUUUGUUAAGUCAGAUGUGAAAGCCCGGGGCUCAACCUCGGAAUUGCAUUUGAAACUGGCAGACUAGAGUACUGUAGAGGGGGGUAGAAUUUCAGGUGUAGCGGUGAAAUGCGUAGAGAUCUGAAGGAAUACCGGUGGCGAAGGCGGCCCCCUGGACAGAUACUGACACUCAGAUGCGAAAGCGUGGGGAGCAAACAGGAUUAGAUACCCUGGUAGCUACGAGU